GUAGGUGGCAAGCGUUGUCCGGAUUUAUUGGGUUUAAAGGGUGCGUAGGCGGCCCUGUAAGUCAGUGGUGAAAUAUCUCAGCUUAACUGAGAGGGUGCCAUUGAUACUGCAGGGCUUGAGUACAGAUGAGGUAGGCGGAAUUGACGGUGUAGCGGUGAAAUGCAUAGAUAUCGUCAAGAACACCGAUAGCGAAGGCAGCUUACCAAGCUGUAACUGACGCUGAGGCACGAAAGUGUGGGGAUCAAACAGGAUUAGAUACCCUGGUAGUCCACACUGUAAACGUUGAUGACUCGAUGUUGGCGAUACACAGCCAGCGUCCAAGAGCAAUCGUUAAGUCAUCCACCUGGGGAGUACGCCGGCAACGGUGAA
rnacentral:rRNA from 1 species